AUUGAACGCUGGCGGCAGGCUUAACACAUGCAAGUCGAACGAUGACUCUCUAGCUUGCUAGAGAAGAUUAGUGGCGGACGGGUGAGUAACAUUUAGGAAUCUGCCUAGUAGUGGGGGAUAGCUCGGGGAAACUCGAAUUAAUACCGCAUACGACCUACGGGUGAAAGGGGGCGCAAGCUCUUGCUAUUAGAUGAGCCUAAAUCAGAUUACCUAGUUGGUGGGGUAAAGGCCUACCAAGGCGACGAUCUGUAACUGGUCUGAGAGGAUGAUCAGUCACACCGGAACUGAGACACGGUCCGGACUCCUACGGGAGGCAGCAGUGGGGAAUAUUGGACAAUGGGGGCAACCCUGAUCCAGCCAUGCCGCGUGUGUGAAGAAGGCCUUUUGGUUGUAAAGCACUUUAAGCAGGGAGGAGAGGCUAAUGGUUAAUACCCAUUAGAUUAGACGUUACCUGCAGAAUAAGCACCGGCUAACUCUGUGCCAGCAGCCGCGGUAAUACAGAGGGUGCGAGCGUUAAUCGGAAUUACUGGGCGUAAAGCGAGUGUAGGUGGCUCAUUAAGUCACAUGUGAAAUCCCCGGGCUUAACCUGGGAACUGCAUGUGAUACUGGUGGUGCUAGAAUAUGUGAGAGGGAAGUAGAAUUCCAGGUGUAGCGGUGAAAUGCGUAGAGAUCUGGAGGAAUACCGAUGGCGAAGGCAGCUUCCUGGCAUAAUAUUGACACUGAGAUUCGAAAGCGUGGGUAGCAAACAGGAUUAGAUACCCUGGUAGUCCACGCCGUAAACGAUGUCUACUAGCCGUUGGGGUCCUUGAGACUUUAGUGGCGCAGUUAACGCGAUAAGUAGACCGCCUGGGGAGUACGGCCGCAAGGUUAAAACUCAAAUGAAUUGACGGGGGCCCGCACAAGCGGUGGAGCAUGUGGUUUAAUUCGAUGCAACGCGAAGAACCUUACCUGGUCUUGACAUAGUGAGAAUCCUGCAGAGAUGCGGGAGUGCCUUCGGGAACUCACAUACAGGUGCUGCAUGGCUGUCGUCAGCUCGUGUCGUGAGAUGUUGGGUUAAGUCCCGCAACGAGCGCAACCCUUUUCCUUAUUUGCCAGCGGGUUAAGCCGGGAACUUUAAGGAUACUGCCAGUGACAAACUGGGGGAAGGCGGGGACGACGUCAAGUCAUCAUGGCCCUUACGACCAGGGCUACACACGUGCUACAAUGGUAGGUACAGAGGGUUGCUACACAGCGAUGUGAUGCUAAUCUCAAAAAGCCUAUCGUAGUCCGGAUUGGAGUCUGCAACUCGACUCCAUGAAGUCGGAAUCGCUAGUAAUCGCGGAUCAGAAUGCCGCGGUGAAUACGUUCCCGGGCCU
rnacentral:rRNA from 1 species